GCCUGUAUGAAGCCGGAAUUGCUGUAAUGGCAGGUCAGCAUACUGCCGUGAAUACGUUCCCGGGCCUUGUACACACCGCCCCGUCACACCAUGAGAGUUGGGGAUACCCAAAGCCCGUGAGCCAACUAUAAAGAGGCAGCGGUCUAAGGUAGAAUCAAUGAUUGGGGUGAAGUCGUAACAAGGUACC
rnacentral:rRNA from 1 species